rnacentral:rRNA from 1 species
UGCUAUCGGGAUAGGACUAAGACAUGCUAGUUGAGCGCUUCCAGCCAAUACGGGAGCGCAGCGCAUAGCUCAGUAACACGUGGCUAAUCUGCCCUUGGGACCGGAACACCCCCGGGAAACUGGGGCUAAUUCUCGAUAGGUGAAGAACUCUGGAAUGAGUCUUUGCCAAAAAGACGUUUACGUUAUGCUCGUAGGCGUCGCCCAAGGAUGAGGCCGCGACCGAUCAGGUUGUUGGUGAGGUAAUGGCUCACCAAGCCUUUUACCGGUGCGGGCCGUGAGAGCGGGAGCCCGGAGAUGGGCACUGAGACAAGGGCCCAGGCCCUACGGGGCGCAGCAGUCGCGAAAACUUUGCAAUACACGAAAGUGUGACAGGGCUAUCCCGAGUGCCAUCCGCUGAGGAAGGCUUUUACCCAGUCUAGAACGCUGGGGGAAUAAGGAGAGGGCAAGUCUGGUGUCAGCCGCCGCGGUAAUACCAGCUCUCCGAGUGGUGUGGAUGUUUAUUGGGCCUAAAGCAUCCGUAGCUGGCUGAGUUAGUCCCUUGUUAAAUCCACCGAAUUAAUCGUUGGAUUGCGGGGGAUACUGCUCGGCUAGGGGACGAGAGAGGCAGACGGUAUUUCUGGGGUAGGGGUGAAAUCCUAUAAUCCCAGGAGGACCACCAGUGGCGAAAGCUGUCUGCUAGAACGCGCCCGACGGUGAGGGAUGAAAGCUGGGGGAGCGAACCGGAUUAGAUACCCGGGUAGUCCCAGCUG